GACGAACGCUGGCGGCGUGCCUAACACAUGCAAGUCGAACGGAAAGGCCCUGCUUUUGUGGGGUGCUCGAGUGGCGAACGGGUGAGUAACACGUUAGUAACCUGUCCCUGUCUUUGGGAUAACUUCAGGAAACUGGGGCUAAUACCGGAUAGGAGCUCCUGCUGCAUGGUGGGGGUGGGAAAGUUUCGGUGGUUGGGGAUGGACUCGCGGCUUAUCGGCUUGGUGGUGGGGUAGUGGCUUACCAAGGCUUGGACGGGUAGCCGACCUGGGAGGGGAACCGGCCACAUUACGCCUGAGCUACGGCCCAGACUCGAACGGUACGCAACGGUGGAGAGUAUUACACAAUAGGCGGGAGCCAGAUGUGACAUCGCCGCGUGCGGGAUGACGUCCUUCGGGUUGUAAACCGAUGUCGCCUGAGACGAGGAGAGAGUGACGGUAAUGGGUAAAGAAGCACCGGCUAACUACGUG
rnacentral:rRNA from 1 species